rnacentral:rRNA from 1 species
CCUACGGGUGGCAGCAGUGAGGAAUAUUGGUCAAUGGCCGAGAGGCUGAACCAGCCAAGUCGCGUGAGGGAAGAAUGUCCUAAGGAUUGUAAACCUCUUUUGUCGGGGAGCAAAAAGGCUCUGCGGAGUCGUAUUGAGAGUACCCGAAGAAAAAGCAUCGGCUAACUCCGUGCCAGCAGCCGCGGUAAUACGGAGGAUGCGAGCGUUAUCCGGAUUUAUUGGGUUUAAAGGGUGCGCAGGCGGAUUUUUAAGUCAGCGGUAAAAUCGUGGGGCUCAACCCCAUCCAGCCGUUGAAACUGGGGAUCUAGAGUGUGCGUGAGGUAUGCGGAAUGCGUGGUGUAGCGGUGAAAUGCAUAGAUAUCACGCAGAACCCCGAUUGCGAAGGCAGCAUACCGGUGCACAACUGACGCUCAGGCACGAAAGCGUGGGUAUCGAACAGGAUUAGAUACCCCUGUAGUC